ensembl:lncRNA
CUCAAAUUUCCACAAAUAGUUUAAAGUCUCAAUCAAUCAAUCAAUCAAUCUGUCUGUAUCUAUCUAUCUAUCUAUCUAUCUAUCUAUCUAUCUAUCUAUCUAUCUAUCUGUCUGUCUGUCUCUGUCUGCCUAUCUGUCUAUCUACCCAUCUACCUAGCUAUUUAUCUACCCAUCCAUUUAUCUAUCUAUCUGUCUGUCUGUCUGUCUGUCUGUCUGUCUGUCUAUCUAUCUAUCUAUCUAUCUAUCUAUCUAUCUAUCUAUCUAUCUGUCUGUCUGUCUCUUUCUGUCUGUCUGUCUCUGCCUGUCUAUCUGUAUGUCUGUCUCUGAGUAUCUAUCAACCUAUCUAUAUCCAUCCAUCCAUCCAUCCAUUCAUCCAUCCAUCCAUCCAUCCAUCCAUCCAUCCAUCUAGCUAUUUGUCUAUUCAUCUAUUUAUCUAUUUCUCUAUCAAUCUAUUGAUCUAUCGAUCUAUCUGUCUAUUUAUCUAUCUAUCACAUUCCCACACACAAAUCAAAGUACAGAUUUAGAGGUGGAAGGAACAUUCCAAAGCCAUCUAUGACACUUUCUCUUCAUUUUUAGAUGAGGAAACAAAAGAACACAGAGCCAAGAUGACAGGGCUAGCAAAGGUGAGGCUUGAACCCAGAUCCCCUGCCUGCAAAGCCAGCUCUGUUUACUUGAGUAAAUACUACAAUGUAGAUUAAGGCUGAUUCUAAUUCAGCCAAUAUAUUGUUGAAGAAUUCUCAGCAUCUUGUGUUCAUAAGUUCCUUCCUUGGGGCAAACAUGAAAUCUUUAGUAUCGCUUGGUAUUUAUAUGAGUCUCGUGUUUCAUCUUCAUUUUCAUCAUUGCCUCUAAAAAUUAAGAGAAAAAAGGCUGCAUAAAAGCAUUUCCUAAAAAUCACUUUGACAGAAAAUACUUUUCAGUUCAUAAAUAUUUCAGCUGAACAAAAUGUUGGGAAAACCUGAAGUCACUGAGAGCCGCCCGUCAGUGCGGCAAAGCUCCAUUACUCAGCUGCGUUGGAAAUGAGAUCAUGUCAGCUUCAACCUGUUGAGUUUCAUAUUGUAACAAUUCAGAAAGCACUAGAAUAUUUUCAAAUAUGCCUUUCCACAGAGAAAUAAUAUUCUGUUGAUUGGCGCUCUGCAAUGUCUUUCUCAACCGUCCUAUUUUCUCGCUUCCCAUUCCCAUUGCCCAUUAACAGGGAAUUCCCUGUUAUCUCCUGAUACCACCUCAAAUCUCAUCUUAGUCUAUCUUAAAAAGAAAGUAGUCAGAAUUGUGCACAGAGCUAGUAGGUCAUUCUUCUGCUCAGAAGCUGUCUGGGACAUCCUAGUAGUGACUAAAUAAUGCCUCCUGGUUCUAGAGUCUAAGUUCUUUCUCUACAAGAACUAGAUGAGCAGUUUGCAUGCCAUUGUCCCUGUUUCAAAGAUGGUGGACCUGAGAGUUUCUCUGUUUCUGAAAAACUAACUAAAUAACCAUCUAAAUAAUGAAAAACUAAGAAACUUACAGAGACACAGAGAGAGAGAGAGACAGAGAGCGUGCUAUGUAUAUAUUCAUAAAUAUAUACAUUCAUUCAUUCAUUCAUACAUUCAUUCAGUUUUCAGUUAGAGAACAGAGAAACUGUAUUUCUCAGAGAAUUGGAGUGACUUACUCAAAACCAAAUGGCCCCAGUAAGCAUAAAAAUCAGGAUCCAAAACUAAGUCUCCCCAUUAUAGGUCAAUGGGCUUUUUGCCAUUGAACCAGAAUGCCAGUACACAAUUGGCUAGCAUUCAAGGACUCCCCAAAUUUGUUCUUACCAUUCUAGUAUUAUCUCACAUCAUUUCCCUUCAUGAAGUAGUUAAACUGAUUUCUUCUUUUCCCACCUCCAUGCCUUUGACUAGAGUAUUGCUUGUUUAGAAUGCCCUCGCUCCAUAUCUCCUCCAUCCCAGUCCAGUUCAAAUGCCAUUUACACCAUGUAAUCUAUGUAACACACAGUGUGUGUCCUGUGAUCUCCCCCCUUGGGCCUCUCACAGCACUUCAUUCCAUCUCUCUCAUUUGUGUGCAUUUUCUACAUUAGAGCUGCCUGUGCUCCAUUUCCCCAAAUGAGAGGAUACACUCCAUGAGGGCAAGGUCCGUGCUUUUUUAAACUUGUCUAUCUCCCCCAGCACGUGCUCCACUUAUAUUAGGAGCUCAGUAAGUGCUUGUUUAGGGGAUGUAAGGAAUUCAGUCAAGCAUUUGGCUUUGGAAAGAAGAAUCAGUCUGGCUUCCAAGGCCAGAACCCAGAGCAGUGGGGGAAGACGGAGGGAGCUGAGCUGUCUAAGGUUCUCAGGUAAGUAACGGACUUUUAGGAAUUCGAAUUGUUCCAGAGUGGAAUGCAGCAGUGCAGGGGGACGUGUGUUCCCCAGGGUUGAAGAGAAAGCUCCAAGCCCAUAAUUUCGAAGAGGGAGGGGCGUCACUAGCCAUGGGGGUCAUUCUGUCCACUUGCUAGACAUAUUCGAAAAGGCCUCCUCACUCAGCCAUGAAUUCACUGAAGCCUUUCUCCUGUCUGACAUUUGGAGAUUUAAAGAACGAUCGGUUUAGAAAACGCUUCCAUCGUCCUUACUUGGAAUACUUCUCUGGUUUCUGGCCUUGAGCUGGACUCCUUUCUGUUGAUCGUUCCUACCCCACCUCUGCCUGGUUUCCUGACUCUUGCUUUACCCCUCUGGGGAUCUCUGCUACGGUCGGUCUUUCUCCUUUCUGUCUGUUGAGUCGUCUGGAUUCGCCUCCCAGAUUUCUCACCUCCCCGAGCCUGUUGGCCCCUCUCUUGGCUAGCCAACUCUUGGGGUCCUCGCCCUUUCAGGAGAGUUCCAUACUUUUCUUCCCCAGGCCUUCCCAGGGCAACAUGCUAAGCUCUGACUUUGGACCUGGACAAAGGGUCCAGAAUCCCCCACAUCAGGGUCUGUUGGAGCUGGUUGGCUUUUCGAAAGAGUUCCAGAGCUGGGGAGAGCCUCAGCUCCUUUGUUAGACUUCUUAUCACUGACCAGCCUCCUCUCCCUUUGGUACUCUUCAUCCAGAUCCUCCUUCUGGCUCUCUUGGACUCGGGCUGUCUGCCAGGCUUAUUCUCUUUUUGUCAUCAGGAUUCUGGAAGCUUCUACCAAUACUACCCGACCCUCAAAGCUCUCCUCCAUUUUGAUCUCUGGUACUGUGCAGCCCAGCUCUCCCAAGGCAGUGCCUGAGAUCUAAGAUCUGUUCUUUCUAUUGAUGAUGUAAUCUAGCACUCCACCCUCCAUCCCCUAAAACAAAGAGCUCCAUAGGCAGAGACCAAGGCGUGCCCUCUCUGAGCUAUCCAUGAUAGGGCUACCCUUCAAAGUAUGCUGGGAUUGGAGUGUUAGAGCUAGAAGAGACUUGGGCUAAGCCAGCUAAUCAACUUGCUCAUUUUACAUUUGGGGAAACCAAGGGCCAAAGAGUUUAAGGGACUUCUCCAGGGACACACAUGUCAUAUGGGGCAGAGCUGGAGGUUGAACCCAGGUGUCCUGGGAUCUUCCCACUGCAGGAGGACAGACCUUUAGAGAGGGAGGGAGCCUCAGAGGUCAUCGAAGGGCCUUAAUGUGUGCUUGUGAUGAGCUCUUCUGGGUAUCAAGGUGAAAUCUAUGGACUCCACAGAGUUCUUUCAAAUGUAUAAAAUAAAAUACACCAAGCCAAAUACA